UUGCUGGUCGAUUGCAUCGCUGGAUUAAAGUUAAACAAGACUUCUAACGCCUUCAACAUCACGGAUCGCAAGUGCAGGACAAAACAAAAGAUGCCUCCAAAACAGAAAUGCAAAAUUGUCAAUCCAAAUGCAUAGCUAGAGCUCAUCUUGAAGUGAAUUUCUCUCUCAUGCCCAAGGGAUCUUAAAAAUGGACACAUCUUGUACUUGUAUACCUCGUUUGGAAAAAGAUUGUCUGAAACUGAGAGUCGGCUGAGUUCACAUUUCUCUUUGUCGGAUGCAGAAGGCUAUUCAUUUGCUGCUAUUAACUCAAGGGUGAGGACUCUCGUUAGAAUGUGGGAGGAAGCCGGAGCAGCCAGAGAAAACCCACAGGGAGAACAUACAAACUCCACACAGACAGCACCCGUAGUCUGCCUCUCUGGCACUGUAAAACAGCAACUCUUCUGUGCCGGUCUAUGUUUCAAGAAGAAAUUAACUUAGUGGACUUUGCCUCUAACUCUAACUGUUCAUAUUUGGUCCAGCUCUGAUUAAUAUCUCUUCUCACUGAAAGAUGUGAAGAAUAUAGUGUCGUGCCGGAGGGAAAAAUAGGUAUAAAUCUAUGAUGGAUGCAACAAAUAAAAUCCUUGUCUCUCCCAGGGUGAUUGGUUGAAGCUAAAUGAUCCGACUAUUCUUAAAUCUUGAUUGUAUUUUUGUAACAGAUUAUACUAUUCAAACUGUAUUUUAAAUUUGCAUAUGGUUUGUAUUGGCACAUGGUGUUUGGCCACAAAUUGAAUGAUAUCUCAUGCAAAUGGAAAAGGACAACAAUAUUAACAAGCUGAGGGAAAUAUAACAGUGUUAUUUUUAAACAAAAUUUAAGAAAUCAAUACCACAGGUCAAUAAGAAAGUGUAUGGAUUGAAUACAUUUUGUAUUCUCACCUGUCUAUUUUUAUUUCUAUGGUGACUGUGAAUUGUGCUUCACUAUCAGGUAGAUAUGUGGAAGGAACAAUCACAUAAUUUCCUUCUGUCAGACUGCAAAGUUGGGUUACUUCUUGCGUGUAUCGAUGAGGCACGCAACUCAUCACUGGUUCCACAAGCUGACAAGAUACUUGAUUUAUAUUUUUCGUGGUGUCGAUCUG